rnacentral:misc_RNA from 1 species
UUGUUGCGCAUCACCAGCGCGGCCUUGCCGGUGAACGCUGCGAAUUUCACGUUGCCGUUGACGCCGUCCGCGAUAUGCCGCGCCAGGGUGGUCUUGCCGGUGCCGGCAUAGCCGAACAGCCGGAACACCGGCGGCGNNNNNNNNNNNNGCCCGGCUUGGCCUUGAGCCAGUCGGCGACGGCGCGGAGCGCCUGAUCCUGAUGCAGCGUGAAGGUGGUCAUCGUGAUGUGCUGGAUACUUCAAAUAAAGUGGACCGCAAGCGGAUAAGGUGCCGCAAGCGGGGCACAUGUGCAUACCU